rnacentral:misc_RNA from 1 species
GGGGAAUUGUUAGACAUUGUAGACGGAGAGUAUGAGGUUUGGAACCACAGACAGCUCCUGAGGUUUUACACAAGUUCUUGAGACUGAAUGCAGGACAUAUAUUUUGAGGUAUUUACCUGAUCCCUUAGAGAUGGCAGAACAUUACCUCUAGUGUCCCAACCCGAACCUUAGUACCCACCUGUACAGCCACUUGUUCGUCACCUAUGCCAUGUAUUAUUAAGGUGUUACAGGUUCGUUACAUGUGUGUAGUACAUGUACCUGGACCACUUCAUGUUCCUGUUUUAGUUAAGUUGUACAAAAUGCAAAAACUGGCUAUUAUGUACAGAAAAAUAAACUACAGGCACUCAUUUUGUUUUUUGAUUGAGAGUCUUGGUGCAAUAUUUUAUUCAAGGUAUAUUAGUUCCAUUAGAAGGAGCAUUUUUUAAAAAUGGAAUUUGUGAUUCAUUUGUUGAAAAUUUCAAAGAUAGUGAUUUUUGUCAGAAAAAACCAUUAUUGCCAGAGCAGUGCAAAAUUAUUAUUGCCUCUAUGUAUUUAAGAAUCAUAAAAGUACGAACACUAUCAAAGUACCAGUAUCAAUAUUUUAAUAGAAAAUGCAACACUGUUGCUCCCUCUAAUUAAUUUUAUUCGAAUUUUCAGGAACAUUCUCUCUCCCUCUCUCUCAAUCAAACAAAUUUAUUUUUAAAAAAAUAAAUAAAUAGUAUUGCAUAUAAAGCAUUACAUGUCUCCCACCGAUGUUCCAAAUUGUUGUUUUAUUGCUUUUAUUGGUUUGGUGAAAAUUCGAUGAAGUAAAUGUAUUUUUUAAAAGACAAAACCGAUAAGAAAAAAAUACGAGUCGUUCAAAAAUUGAUUUCAUCCUUAUCUGUUGUCUGUUGAUUAAUUCUAUCAAAAUUCAAGUUUGAUUUAAAGCCACACACAAGUUUGAAAUAAAUUCUUCAAAGCAUAUUAAUUUAAAGAAGUCUGGAAAACGAAAUUUCACAGGUAAAGGCUAAAAAUACGAGUGGGUUUAAAAAAAAUAGUGGAUAUGACUUCAUUUUUACAGAUACAUGUAUAAAUUUUACCUAUUGUAUAUAUAACAUUGUUUUUUGACUACAGUUCCAUGUAUUUAGUCAUUAUAUUUUUUUUUUAAAGAAAUUUUAAAGAAAUUAUUAUAUACAUGUACUUUUCUAGAAGCUUUUCUUUAUUGAUUAUUUUAUAUAUAUAUUUUGAUAUAAUUAUUUCUGAAUAAACAACUUGCCGAAAUC